UAUAUAAUCAAUUUCAUGAAACAUUGAUAGAUUCUUUGUUUCUCAUGACUUCUGGCAAUAUUUGAAAUACAAGAAAUCCAUGUAUUUUCCAGUACUCCAUCCUCACUGUCAAAACUGUCGAGAAUGUAAAAGCUCUGAGAUUGUACCCUACCUGCAAGGCAACAAGUUAACCUGGCAUAGUUUCAUGUCUGCUGGUAGAAGCUAUGAGGUUCCUGAGUCACAGGCUUUCCAACAAAUGUGGAGAACAUUGAAUAACCUUGCUGAUGAAAACAUUAAAAAUGAUGAUUUGCAAUUUCAGCAGCUUCAGGCCAUCUCCCUAGUUCAGACUUCUUACUUGUAAAAUAUUUUGGAGAGAUGGCAGGCACCACAGAAAUGAAAACUGAAAUAGGCCUCAAAUAAUGGUCACAAUAAAAUGUUUAUUAUAAUGGUAGCAGCAAAUAUAAGACAUUUUCUGUCAACAUCUACCUGGGUAAUGGACCAAAAGCAUUUUAAGUUUACAAAGUGAAAACAAUUAAUAUUUUCUUGAAGCUAGAUUAAACAGAACCUAAAAUUAUAUACUUGAUAGAUCUAUAUUACGGUUAUCUUUACUGAAUCUCAGUUCAAGUUCGGGGAUGUAACUUUGCAAAGUGACUUGUGAAUUUUCUUGUUUUUCAUUUUGUUAUUUUCCAUUAGGCAGCUAAACACAUUGCCAAGUGUCAAAAGCUUUUGCCAUGAAUGUAGGUGAAGAAAAUAUGAGAGUGAAUACUCUGAUGAUGGUUUUAGUUUAUGAUGCAUUUCAAGCUCUGCCUCUUCAGCAGUUAAAUCCUUCAAUAUUUUUAGUGGGAUGAACCAUCACGUAUUUAAAAAACUUAAGCACUUUUGUUUCAAAGAGAAGAGUCAAGUUUAAUGUCAAUUGGUGAAAGCAUAGAGUAUGAUGGGUUUUAGGAGAGAAACCUGAAAUUGUCAGCAUUUUGUCAUUCUUACUUUAUGAUCCCUCAAGGCAGUUUUUAUUCAAAACCAAAUUUGUGCUGACACUACCAGGCUUCUGAUAUUUAAAUUCAUGAUAACAAAUGAGGAAAAAAUUAAAAGGUAAUAAAGUAAAUACAGUUUCAAAUGAGGGCAAAAACGAGAGGAAGUCAUCAGCUGGCAGGAACAUGAAGUCCAUAUUAUUAAUGCAUAAGAAUGAAACAAAAAAAUGGAUGUGUUAGGGAGGUUUUGUUUGUAAGCUUAAUUGAAAUUUAGAAGUCUUUCUUUUUUUUCUUUUUCAAAAGCAGUGUCAAAAAUGGUAGAUCUUAUUCUUGUAAAAAAAAAAACCUAUUUAACUUGCCGUGAAUCUGAACCACAGAUGCUACAAUAUUAUCAAUAUGAUAGACCUUAAAAUAAUUGUGGGUGUCCCUUCUAUAGUGGGGAGAGUUUUAGAUUUGAUUGCUGUUUCUGGCUGGCUCCUCUAUUAAUUUAGAUGAGCUGCUUAAUCUCUUUAGGUUUUCUUAAAAUAAAUGAGUAUAUUAGAUAAUCUUUAAACUCACUUCUAGUUCUAAAAUUCUUUUACAUUCCUCUAUUUCCUAUUUCCCUCCUUUUUUAGAAACAUAAG